CAGUGAAACAGCUUUAAUUUCAGCUUACUGCUCAGCCUGGCUCAAUGCAGCAUCGCUUGGGGGUCUUUCUGGAAAGCCGUGGUAUGGGGCCCAACAGGCCAGGCAGGCAGACAAGGGAGAACAACAGCCUUGUGCACUUACAUCUCAGAGAGACCCCGGAGACACAUACGUCAGUCAGAGCAGCCUCCCCCGGGAGUCGUUGAGUUAGUUAUGACUCUUUUAAAUGCUUCUCUGAACCUCUCCUCAAUACAUGGAGGUGAGCGUUAUUGGAUAGCCAAUAGUCAAUGGCUGGAUAAAAACCCUAUUAAGGAAUCAGCAUCUUUCGAGUGAGGUUUCUGAAGAGUGGUUUUGAAGUUUGGAGAGGGCUGCUUCGCCAUCACCAUCUUGGCAGUGCCAAAUGGCUUAUUAUGCCGCACCACAAAUGAUCCCCCCAGACACCCACGCCGUCUUUGAACUGCUCCCACCCCAGGGUGAUGCAUUAGCAACCUGUCUGGAGCUGGCGUAGCCUUAGGAGAGGUGCUUGUGUCUCAGGUGUUUAAUAAGCCCUACUGGGGGCAACGGGAUGAAGCUGGGAGCCCUGACUCGAGCACCCGACCGCCUUCAGAUACCUCCCUUCACACGCCCGAGCCAUCCCUGCUGUGACCCCUCCCCCAUGUCCCUCGGACCAUCUCCCAUCAUCCUCUCUCAUUCUGCCUCCUCUUCAAACUCUCCCCGGCAAAUCUCCGUAUCCCCCCACCACCCCGCAACCCACCCCUCUUUUCCAUCCACACUCCUCCCUCUUCCACCUCCCUGAAAGCGCUUGUUUGCGCUCCUCUCUGCCUGCCUUCCUUCAACGCAUGCCAGGACUCCUCGGGCACCAGUUACACAGUGAGGAUUUCAUUUGAAAGAGCUCCUCAGGACGUCAUUACAAGGAUCAUCACCAGGCCUCACGGCUGAUGUUACAUUAGUGUUCCAUCACACAUAGAGCCUUCAAAGCGCCUAUUAACCAGCCAGCCCACUCAUUACGUAAAUCAGAAUUUUUCUUGUCAGAUUGGUAAUAUCACAUUAAUCUAUAAUUGACCAUUCUCAUGUUUUACACUUGAGACCAAAUGAUGAAUAACCAUAGAUGAAGUGUCUGUGAUUUUUAUCCAAUUGUACAUCAUCGUGGAGAUUUUAAAACAACCAGGCAAUGGGAUCACAGAUAUGUCAAAUGAUGCUGAGAGGAGAUUGACAGUGGAGGAAGUCUGAUAAUGUUUUGCGACCAAAUCAUGCUGCAAUGUUUUCAAAUGCCACAGACUUGAUAUUCUCACACAGCCUCAGUUGCAUGACCCCUUCUGUUAGUCAGUAAUAUGUUACAUUAUUGAGUAUUUUAUGUAUGUGCAUGUUUUUUGGUCUCGUAUUUAUAGUUUAUCUUUAUUUUUAUAGUGUGUUCACUUUCACCUGGUCUGAUUUCAAGUGUUGUCCUGUUAUGAAAGCUUUUGACUACUGACCAUUCCAGUACUCCAACUAUACAAAAAACAAAAAGCAGCGAGCAUUUAGCUGAAAGUUCAACAGCACUUCAGUUCUGUUCAAGUUCAGUUAUGUUUGUGUUUUUCAACCCUAAGAACUGUUGUCAUGCCAUUGUUCAGGGGGUUGUGCUUAUGGGUAUUGUAGUUGAUCUCUUGGACCGAAAACCCCAAAACAGCCUUUCUAGAUGUUUCCUGAUGGUAGAAAUUGCGUAACACAGACGUAUUUAACCGCUACUCAGUAAAAAUAAGGGUGAAGCUGAUGUGAAAAGCUCAGUUAUCCUGGUAUCAGCUGUUAUAUAGUUCUUUAAAUGUAGUCCAACAUAUAAUCUUUAGAGAAUUAUGUCUAAAGUCAUUACCUGUCAUUAAACAUGUUAUCAAAAUGCUUGAAAAAAACACCUUACAAGAACAUUUAACCAGCUGAUUAGACACACAUUUUGUAAUUAUGCACCAUUACAAUUACGAUCAUGGCCAUGUCAUCCCUCAUCUCCCCGCAUCCAUCCAUUCAUGCAACCAAGCCCUCUUCCCAUUGGACACUUAGAGCCCCACCUAUCUACACAGCCAGAAAAUACUUCUUAAUUCUCCCGUAUACAAUCGCCCACCUCCACCUCUCCGUCCAGCAUAUACAACCUUAUUAAUCUGGUCUUUCAUUCCCUCCAUCUCUUUUGUUCCAUCCUCUCGUCUCCACCCAACCAUUUCAUCCUCCAUUCAUUGCAAACAGAAGACAUACAGUACUAUCUGGCGUGAAACAGAAUGAAUAUUAAGUGGGUAGCAGUUGGAUCAGCCUUACACUACUAUUGUAAAUAGUCCUUUUUCCCUCUCUCUCUCUCUCUCUCUCUCUCUCCAUCAUCUCUGGCUCUCUCAGCCAUGCUCCUCCAGCUCCACGAUAAAGCCUGUGCCAUGUAAAGUGGUAUGAGCUCCAUCAGCCAUGCAGAUGAGUCCUGCUUCCUUUACCUUAAUUAGAG